UCCACAAACCAUUUCUACAUUCAGACAUGACUAGAGUACCCCAACAAUUCUUCAGAAGUUCAGGACUACAGCAGGAGGUGUCAAGAAGAAUUAGUUGUGGGGUACGGAAGGCACUUUCUGGGCAUGCAGAGCCAGAGAAAAAGAUGAGAACUUAAUGAAGGUCAUGCAGCUAAGAAGUGAAAGAUCCAAGAUUUGAACCCAAGCUGUUUGAUUCCAGAGCCUAUGCUUUUAACCAUUCCUCUAAAAAUAAUGAUAAUGAAGGUAACUUUGGAACAUGACAAAUAUAUUUCACUUUGAU
rnacentral:lncRNA from 1 species